CAGCCGCCGCGGGAAUACGUAGGGUGCGAGCGUUAAUCGGAAUUACUGGGCGUAAAGCGUGCGCAGGCGGUUAUAUAAGACAGAUGUGAAAUCCCCGGGCUCAACCUGGGACCUGCAUUUGUGACUGUAUAGCUAGAGUACGGUAGAGGGGGAUGGAAUUCCACGUGUAGCAGUGAAAUGCGUAGAUAUGCGGAGGAACACCGAUGGCGAAGGCAAUCCCCUGGACCUGUACUGACGCUCAUGCACGAAAGCGUGGGGAGCAAACAGGAUUAGAUACCCGGGUAGUCCCUGUCUCUUAUAC
rnacentral:rRNA from 1 species